CUAUUUUUGUAUGGGAAUGAAUGUUGUGGUGAUUGUUUUCUUUUUAUAUCUAUUGUAUGGGUGAAAAUUUUAAGUUUUUUAGAGUAUCUCGAAGAGUCUUCGGAAUUCGGAUGCUAUCUUUGGCAGCGCAAAACUGUUGGUCGGAAAACGGAGAGGCGGCGGCAGGCUGUGGGACUUCCCAGCGCUGAUCGGAGGAUGCAGCGGCGUGGGCUGUAUAUAUCCCAGCGCUGGUCGGCGGACGCGACAGCGGCGGGCUGUGGGACGUCCAGCGCUGGACGGAGGACGCGGCGGCGCGGGCGCCGUCGGAUGUCCAAGUGCUGGAUGGAGGAGGUGUGGCAGGUUGCUGUGCAGACAUCAGUGGCACUGACCUCGAAAAGCGGUGCCCGCGUGUACAUAAUGUGUGCUUGUAUAAAUACAUUUGGUACAGAUUA